rnacentral:rRNA from 1 species
AUUGAACGCUGGCGGCAGGCCUAACACAUGCAAGUCGAGCGGGGACUUCGGUCCUAGCGGCGAACGGGUGAGUAAUGCUUGGGAAUCUGCCCAGUAGUGGGGGAUAACGUCCCGAAAGGGACGCUAAUACCGCAUACGUCCUACGGGAGAAAGAGGGGGAUCUUCGGACCUCUCGCUAUUGGAUGAGCCCAAGUCGGAUUAGCUAGUUGGUAGGGUAAUGGCCUACCAAGGCGACGAUCCGUAGCUGGUCUGAGAGGAUGAUCAGCCACACUGGAACUGAGACACGGUCCAGACUCCUACGGGAGGCAGCAGUGGGGAAUAUUGGACAAUGGGCGAAAGCCUGAUCCAGCCAUGCCGCGUGUGUGAAGAAGGCCUUCGGGUUGUAAAGCACUUUAAGCGGGGAGGAAGGUUCGCGGCCUAAUACGUCGCGGAAUUGACGCUACCCGCAGAAUAAGCACCGGCUAACUCUGUG